UACGUAGGGGCCGAGCGUUGUCCGGAGUUAUUGGGCGUAAAGCGCGCGCAGGCGGCCUCGCGCGCCCGACGUGAAAGCCCCCGGCUUAACCGGGGAGGGUCGUUGGGGACGGCGGAGCUUGAGGGCGGGAGAGGGUGGUGGAAUUCCCGGUGUAGUGGUGAAAUGCGUAGAGAUCGGGAGGAACACCCGUGGCGAAGGCGGCCACCUGGGCCGACCCUGACGCUGAGGCGCGAAGGCGUGGGGAGCGAACGGG
rnacentral:rRNA from 1 species